UUUAAAGAGAGUUUGAUCCUGGCUCAGGACGAACGCUGGCGGCGUGCCUAAUACAUGCAAGUCGAACGAACGGAGGAAGAGCUUGCUCUUCCAAAGUUAGUGGCGGACGGGUGAGUAACACGUGGGCAACCUGCCUGUAAGUUGGGGAUAACUCCGGGAAACCGGGGCUAAUACCGAAUGAUAGAGUGUGGCGCAUGCCACGCUUUUGAAAGAUGGUUUCGGCUAUCGCUUACAGAUGGGCCCGCGGUGCAUUAGCUAGUUGGUAGGGUAAUGGCCUACCAAGGCAACGAUGCAUAGCCGACCUGAGAGGGUGAUCGGCCACACUGGGACUGAGACACGGCCCAGACUCCUACGGGAGGCAGCAGUAGGGAAUCUUCCGCAAUGGACGAAAGUCUGACGGAGCAACGCCGCGUGUAUGAAGAAGGUUUUCGGAUCGUAAAGUACUGUUGUUAGAGAAGAACAAGGAUAAGAGUAACUGCUUGUCCCUUGACGGUAUCUAACCAGAAAGCCACGGCUAACUACGUGCCAGCAGCCGCGGUAAUACGUAGGUGGCAAGCGUUGUCCGGAUUUAUUGGGCGUAAAGCGCGCGCAGGCGGUCUUUUAAGUCUGAUGUGAAAGCCCCCGGCUUAACCGGGGAGGGUCAUUGGAAACUGGAAGACUGGAGUGCAGAAGAGGAGAGUGGAAUUCCACGUGUAGCGGUGAAAUGCGUAGAUAUGUGGAGGAACACCAGUGGCGAAGGCGACUCUCUGGUCUGUAACUGACGCUGAGGCGCGAAAGCGUGGGGAGCAAACAGGAUU
rnacentral:rRNA from 1 species